UAUCUCAAUUUGUUUUUUUAUCUUAAAUGUUUAUAGUUUAGCCCCUUAAAGCAUUUUAUUUUGCUCUUAAUUUAAAUAUUUUAAAUAUAUUGUGAUAUCUUCUAAAUUAAACUAAAGUUUACUGAAAGCCAACAUUAAAUAACGUCAUUAAACAACACAGGCAAGAACUACUGCAUCAUGACAGCAACUGAAGUAUGAUAACAGGUUACCAAAAGCAGGUUUCUCGUAUGACGCAAUAUAAAAGAUCAAAGUUAACUUUUUUUUUUUAAUUUGUUAUACACAUGUUUGAUUGUAAAUUAUUAUAUAUUUUUUUGAAACGUAUUUGUACUCAAUUGCUUAGAUAUUUAUAAUAAACUUAGUUAUUUAUAAUAAA